rnacentral:rRNA from 1 species
GCGCAUCUGUGCAUGCAGCAUAUCAAUAAGCGGAGGAAAAGAAACUAACAAGGAUUCCCUUAGUAACGGCGGGUGAAGCGGGAAGAGCUCAAAUUUGAAAUCUUCAAGGUUUUACCUUGACGAAUUGUAGUUUAAAGAAGUGUUUUCUGUUGAAGUUUUGGUAAAAGUUCUUUGGAAUAGGACAUCAUAGAGGGUGAGAAUCCCGUAUUUGACCAUUAUUUUCAGCUGUGUGAUACACUUUCAAAGAGUCGGAUUGUUUGGGAAUGCAGUCCAAAAUGGGUGGUAAAUUUCAUCUAAAGCUAAAUAUUGGCGAGAGACCGAUAGCGAACAAGUACCGUGAGGGAAAGAUGAAAAGAACUUUGAAAAGAGAGUUAAACAGUACGUGAAAUUGUCAAAAGGGAAGCGUUUGACACCAGUGUUGUUUUCUCGAAAAUCAAUUAAAAAAGAGUUUGAUUUUGUGUUGUAUUGACCUUAACAGCUUUCUGCACUUCAAUUUUCCUGCUUUUUUUAAUGCACUUUUCGUUUAACAAGUCAACAUCAGUUUCUUUUGUUGUAAAAAGGUCAUUGGAAGGUGGCUUUCUUUUCGGAGAAAGUGUUUAUAGCCUUUGAUCUCUGCAAUCGGAGAGACUGAGGUCUGCAGCGUAGAUCCUUCGGGGUUAGAUACAUUUGUGCUAAGUUAUAGCUUUUUCAUAGACAACUUGUUGACUAUGAUUUAGUCAUGUAGCUUACUCGCUUAUGCUAUUUUACCUACGCUUAGGAUGUUGAGUAGCGACAUACGCAC